ACGGGAGGCAGCAGUGAGGAAUAUUGGUCAAUGGGCGAGAGCCUGAACCAGCCAAGUAGCGUGAGGGAUGACUGCCCUAUGGGUUGUAAACCUCUUUUGACAGGGAAUAAAGUGCGCCACUUGUGGUGUUUUGCAUGUACCUGUCGAAUAAGGAUCGGCUAACUCCGUGCCAGCAGCCGCGGUAAUACGGAGGAUCCGAGCGUUAUCCGGAUUUAUUGGGUUUAAAGGGAGCGUAGGCGGGAUGUCAAGUCAGCUGUGAAAUGUAGUCGCUCAACGUCUGCACUGCAGUUGAAACUGGCGUUCUUGAGUGCGUAAGUGGCAGGCGGAAUUCGUCGUGUAGCGGUGAAAUGCUUAGAUAUGACGAAGAACUCCGAUUGCGAAGGCAGCCUGCUGGGCCGCAACUGACGCUGAAGCUCGAAGGUGCGGGUAUCAAACAGGAUUAGAUACCCUGGUA
rnacentral:rRNA from 1 species